CGUCUCCCUCGGGUGAGGAGGAGGCGGCGAGGGUUUGGGCCUCCUGGUCCGACCUCGACGGCGCCGACGAGCUCGCGCCCAAGAUUCCUUUCCUCAACGGCGCAGCUGCAACGGGUACAAAAAGGGUCAUGCAUGGGUGAGCUAGACAAACAACGUGGAUCCCUAUUUCUGUUGAGGUCACCAACCAAUUCUUAAGUUUUGAACCAUGGGAAGGCCUUCAUGCAUGAGCUGCUGUAAGUAGAUGACGACUUUUGUUGAAAAGCUUGGUUCAUGUAGAGCUCGUAGUUAGCUCUGUAGGCCAUACCCUUUUGUUGGUGAUCUUAGCUCAUGGACCUGGAAAAGGCCUCAGAAUAGGCUAUGUGAGCAAGCCAUGUAUGCAUGCCCUGAUAUAUGAACUUGUUGCUUUGGACGUUUUUGUGUGAGAGUGCAUGCAUGUAUGCCUCCUGCUAUUUAUAACAUUCUUUGAAUUUUACUACUGUACUUUGUAGCAGAACAUUCAGUAACCAGCUGUAUCUGUAACAAUUGGCCAAGACAAGACUAUAUAUA